AUAAUAAACCUGCAGAAGUAAAUGGACAGAUACUUGUUUCAGAUCAGUUGGCCUACUGUGUAAAUCUUCUCCCCAGUUGAUGCUUUACUUUUGAGUGGUGAUAAUUCAUUCUAAUCAGGCUUCUGAUUCUUCUAAUGUUUUACGGCUGCCCACAUAUGUGGAAAAAGACACAAGGAUAAUGCUAAAGUAUCCUUUGUAUCACCCCCGAUCCAUCUCUCCUCAACCAGUGAUCACCACUGUUCUCUCAAGAGAAGAAACUACUGUCACCAAUGGAGUCUAUGUACCCUUCAAGCCUUUUUCUAUUGGGAAGACUCCGAGGCCAAAUUUCCUGGAGAAGAUCCAGUCUAGAGCCCAGCUCUCCUAACUCCAGGCCUGAUCAGGCUCACUCCAGAGAGUCAAAGGCUGCAUACUGUAUGGACGCAGAUGAUAAAAGUUCAAAGUUUCCAGCUAAAUGUCUGGAGAGAGAGACAGAGAGAAAUAGAAUUGUUGAAAACCUGUUACAUCUAUAGACUUAAGUGUGUGUAAUUUCAUUUCAAACUAACACUGUUCCUCUAACUCACAUACCCAAACCCCUGAGUAAAAUAUAUUUCUGCCAAAUUUAUUUUUACUUCCCAACAGGCCCAUUUAUGUACAAUUAAAUUGAUUAUCCAGACAAUUUUCUUCCAUAUGAAAGCAGAAAACUGCUUUAGCUGGUGGUUUUCAUCUGUUAAUUGGAUUCUUACUUGCAAAGCCACAUCUUAUUUUCUAUUUUUUAGUUUUGCUUUUAUUUUCAUUUGGUAGAAGUAUGUGAAAAGUGAUGUGAUUAUGUUAUUAAAAUAACUAAUUCUUCUAAAAUAAAGCCUUUUAUAAUCAUUUCUGUUCACUAUUUUCUAAAUUUCUCAGUUGACAGUGCAAAU
ensembl:lincRNA